CAAUGAGAAUAGUCAUCCUGAAAGAAGAUUGAAACUGAAAAUAAUAUGAAGAAAGCCAAUAAAAGUGAAGAAAGCAAGAAAGAAAUUAAGAAGGGAUGGCAUUGAGGGGAAAGUAAAAAGUAGGUAUUUAUAAUUGGCCGGAGAGUCCUUCCCUGAGAAUUCGCAGGUCCCGAGUCCUUCCCUGAAAAUCCUAACUUUCUUUCUUUCUUAUUACAUACUUUAUGGGCUUAUUAAUAUCAAAUAUAUAUCACAAAUUCAAUUCAAUCCAUAGCAAAUGUAUGUACUUUUACUUUACACAACCAAGAGUUGAAA
rnacentral:misc_RNA from 1 species